rnacentral:lncRNA from 1 species
CCAAAACAAAUGAAACCCUUACCACUUUUUCACUUUCAUUUACCCCAAAACACAAAAAAAAAACCCUCAGAGGCAAAACAAUCGUUUGAGGAGAGCUGAAGCUGCACUCUUCCUGGCCUUGUUAAGAAGCCCGUGCUUAACCUAGUGAUCAUCUCCAUAUUUGGGUUUCGCACGUUAAGUGAAUCGAAUGGUUGGUAAAUAAAAAUUCGUAGCUGCAAAAGAGAAGCUGACCAUGUAUAGCAAGAUCAUCCAUCGUUGAAGCCAUCGCCUCCGACGAAAUCUUGAGCAAAUAUUAUGUAAGUAUGAUAUUUGUUCAUCGUUUGUUAUCGUGAUCGACUAAUUUCAGUUUCAAUGAAUACAACCGGACAUUCUUGGUAGGAAAAAAUGUCACCCUCAUCCCGACCGUAUCGAAGAUUUUUUAAAAUUUAUCCAAUUUUGACGGUGCUCAUUAGUAGUUUAGAUGUAAUUACAAAUGAGUAAGUAAUGUUUUGAAUUAGUAGAAAUUUUUGGCAAACACUGUUGGAAGGAAAAAAAGAGUGGAAUACGCAUUUUGCAAAUUUGUGAAUUUUACAUUGGUGUGUGGUUGUUGUCUAAUGUAGUCCAACCUGUUUUUAUUUGCAUGUAGUAUGGCAAGAAAAAACUUCAGACGUUGUCAUAGCUGUAGAGGGAGGGGCACUUCUUUGCGAAUUGCCCAAACAAACGAUGAUACCUCUAGUGUAAAAUUGGAUUCGUGAAGUGCUUUGAGAUUUAGAGGGAGACAAAGAACAAGGGAAAAUUGUUCAAUUGCUACAGUGCUAACUGUAAACACUAAGAAUGGAUUGACGAGAGAGAAUUGAGCCGUAGAUCAAUUACUAUUGCUAUAAACUUGAAUAAUCAUGCAGCACUUGAAGAAGUCCAGCUGUUCUCUCGCAUGUUCUAGUCCUUUUGUUGGGUAACUGAAGAAUAAAACAUGGAGAUUUCUUUGAACGUAACAAUAAGGAAGGCCAAUGGAAGUGCGGGAGUGGAUAAGAAAGUGAAGGGGCCAGCAUGAUUACUCGUUAUAUUUUCUUAGGAUGCAUCGCUACCACCUUUGAUGUGCAAUAUGUGGUGUGUUAUGUGAAGUUGAUGUGUAAUAUGUCUUGUGUUAUGGGAAGAAGUCAUUGUAAUGUAGUCGCUUUUGAUGUUUCAGUAGCUAUGUAAAUGAUGUUGGUGUUAAUAUUAGUAGACUGCAAUUUGUGUUCUUCAUUAUGUUAUUGGGAUUGAAUAUGAAAUUGUAAUUGUACUAACAGUCUUUGUUUAAGAAAAGUUUGUGGAAGAAAGUGCUAUAUUGGAAGUUUCAUUGGGAAAAC